CCACCAAACCGACGAUCAGUAGGGGUUCUGAGAGGAAGGUCCCCCACAUUGGAACUGAGACACGGUCCAAACUCCUACGGGAGGCAGCAGUGAGGAAUAUUGGUCAAUGGGCGAGAGCCUGAACCAGCCAAGUAGCGUGCAGGACGACGGCCCUAUGGGUUGUAAACUGCUUUUAUGCGGGGAUAAAACGCGGGACGUGUCCCGCCUUGCAGGUACCGCAUGAAUAAGGACCGGCUAAUUCCGUGCCAGCAGCCGCGGUAAUACGGAAGGUCCGGGCGUUAUCCGGAUUUAUUGGGUUUAAAGGGAGCGUAGGCCGCUUUGUAAGCGUGUUGUGAAAUUUGCCGGCUCAACCGGUAACUUGCAGCGCGAACUGCAGAGCUUGAGUGUGCGCAACGUUGGCGGAAUUCGUCGUGUAGCGGUGAAAUGCUUAGACAUGACGAAGAACUCCGAUUGCGAAGGCAGCUGACGGGAGCACUACUGACGCUGAAGCUCGAAAGUGCGGGUAUCGAACAGGAUUAGAUACCCUGGUAGUCCGCACGGUAAACGAUGGAUGCCCGCUGUUUGCACAUAGUUGCAAGCGGCCAAGCGAAAGCGUUAAGCAUCCCACCUGGGGAGUACGCCGGCAACGGUGAAACUCAAAUGAAUUGACGGGGGGAGUUUGAUCCUGGCUCAGAAACUCAAAUGAAUUGACGGGGGAAGAGUUUGAUCCUGGCUCAGAAACUCAAAUGAAUUGACG
rnacentral:rRNA from 1 species